rnacentral:rRNA from 1 species
CACUCCUACGGGAGGCAGCAGUGGGGAAUAUUGGACAAUGGGCGCAAGCCUGAUCCAGCCAUGCCGCGUGAGUGAUGAAGGCCCUAGGGUUGUAAAGCUCUUUCACCGGUGAAGAUAAUGACGGUAACCGGAGAAGAAGCCCCGGCUAACUUCGUGCCAGCAGCCGCGGUAAUACGAAGGGGGCUAGCGUUGUUCGGAUUUACUGGGCGUAAAGCGCACGUAGGCGGACUAUUAAGUCAGGGGUGAAAUCCCGGGGCUCAACCCCGGAACUGCCUUUGAUACUGGUAGUCUUGAGUUCGAGAGAGGUGAGUGGAAUUCCGAGUGUAGAGGUGAAAUUCGUAGAUAUUCGGAGGAACACCAGUGGCGAAGGCGGCUCACUGGCUCGAUACUGACGCUGAGGUGCGAAAGCGUGGGGAGCAAACAGGAUUAGAAACCCCGGUAGUCCCAUGAU